GCCCCCGCGGCGCGCCCGGCGGUGGCCGGCCCUGCUGGGAUCGGCGGCGUGCCUCGGCCUGGUCGCCGCGGGCGCGGGGGCG
rnacentral:tRNA from 2 species